GGUCUAUCUAUUCUUAUAGUUGCUACUAUUAUUAUAGAUGAGAGUUUUGAUGUUAGAAAUGAAGAGAUUGGUAAAACAAAAGAAGUAAAAUAUUUUUCAAUGCUAGUACCAACAUACAAGGAGGUUUUAACUAUUGUACCUAAAAAAGAAUUUGUAGACAAAAAAAAGAUGUUAUUAAUAAUAGGAAGUAUGAGUCAUAGAAUCAACUUACUUAUAUAUUUAGUACAAAAAUAUAUAAUUAUUGUACUUAAAAUCAUAAUAUAUGGUGAAUAGUAUAACUGUGUGUAGAGAGGUAUCAGGCGCCAUUCCUUGUUGUUUUAUAUUUUUCCUGAUCUUGCUCGAGUUGUCGUUGGCGGAGCUGCUGUCAACAACUUGGAUUACUGGAGCAUUGCAGUAGCAG
rnacentral:lncRNA from 1 species